rnacentral:rRNA from 1 species
AGUGAACGCUGGCGGUAGGCCUAACACAUGCAAGUCGAACGGCAGCACAGUAAGAGCUUGCUCUUACGGGUGGCGAGUGGCGGACGGGUGAGGAAUACAUCGGAAUCUACUUUUUCGUGGGGGAUAACGUAGGGAAACUUACGCUAAUACCGCAUACGACCUACGGGUGAAAGCAGGGGAUCUUCGGACCUUGCGCGAUUGAAUGAGCCGAUGUCGGAUUAGCUAGUUGGCGGGGUAAAGGCCCACCAAGGCGACGAUCCGUAGCUGGUCUGAGAGGAUGACCAGCAACACGGAGAGUGCGAGGAGGUCAAGAGUGGUACGGGAGGCCGAAGUUGAGAAUAUGGCAGCAGGCGACCAGGACGGAUCCAGCGUGACGGUGGGGGUGAAGAAGGGCUACGGGUUGUAGAGUACUUGUGUGGGGAAAGAAGAGCGGCAUGUUAAUACCCGUGUAAACUGACGGUAAACAAAAAAUAAGCACGGGCUAACGCGGUGCAAGCAGCCGCGGUAAUGAUCGGAAGACCACUCUUCUCAA